CGCGUAGGCGGCCUGGCAAGUCGAUGGUGAAAGCCCGAGGCUCAACUUCGGGUCGGCCACUGAUACUGCUAGGCUCGAGUCGACUAGAGGCAGAUGGAAUUCCGGGUGUAGCGGUGGAAUGCGUAGAGAUCCGGAAGAACACCGGUGGCGAAGGCGGUCUGCUGGGGUCGAACUGACGCUGAGGCGCGACAGCGUGGGGAGCAAACAGGAUUAGAUACCCUGGUAGUCCACGCCGUAAACGAUGGGCACUAGGUGCUUGGGGGAGCGACCCCUUGAGUGCCGGCGCUAACGCAUUAAGUGCCCCGCCUGGGGAGUACGGCCGCAAGGCUGAA
rnacentral:rRNA from 1 species